CGCUGGCGGCAGGCUUAACACAUGCAAGUCGAACGAUGAAGUCUAGCUUGCUAGACGGAUUAGUGGCGAACGGGUGAGUAAUGCUUAGGAAUCUGCCUAUUAGUGGGGGAUAACGUAGGGAAACUUACGCUAAUACCGCAUACGUCUUACGAGAGAAAGGGGGCUUUUAGCUCUCGCUAAUAGAUGAGCCUAAGUCGGAUUAGCUAGUUGGUGGGGUAAAGGCCUACCAAGGCGACGAUCUGUAGCUGGUCUGAGAGGAUGAUCAGCCACACUGGGACUGAGACACGGCCCAGACUCCUACGGGAGGCAGCAGUGGGGAAUAUUGGACAAUGGGCGAAAGCCUGAUCCAGCCAUGCCGCGUGUGUGAAGAAGGCCUUUUGGUUGUAAAGCACUUUAAGUGGGGAGGAAAAGCUUGUGGUUAAUACCCACAAGCCCUGACGUUACCCACAGAAUAAGCACCGGCUAACUCUGUGCCAGCACCG
rnacentral:rRNA from 1 species